rnacentral:rRNA from 1 species
AACGUAGGAGACGAACGUUAUCCGGAGUUACUGGGCGUAAAGGGCGUGUAGGCGGUUUGUUAAGUCUGGCGUGAAAGCUCUCGGCUAAACCGGGAGAGGUCGUUGGAUACUGGCAAACUAGAGGAUGGUAGAGGCGUGUGGAAUUCCGGGUGUAGUGGUGAAAUGCGUAGAGAUCCGGAGGAACACCAGUGGCGAAGGCGGCCUGCUGGGCAGUAGCUGACGCUGAUGCGCGACAGCGUGGGGGAGCAAACAGG